GUGCUCAUUUUGGCAGCACGUAGACUAAAACUGGAACAAUACAGAGAAGAUUAGCAUGGCCACCACAUGAGGAUGACACGCAAAUUCGUGAAGUGCUCCAUAUUUUU